rnacentral:rRNA from 1 species
GACGAACGCUGGCGGCGUGCCUAAUACAUGCAAGUAGAACGCUGAAGCUUGGUGCUUGCACCUAUCGGAUUAGUUGCGAACGGGUGAGUAACGCGUAGGUAACCUGCCUGUUAGCGGGGGAUAACUACUGGAAACGAUAGCUAAUACCGCAUAAGAGUAGAUGUUGCAUGACAUUUGCUUAAAAGGUGCAUUUGCAUCACUACCAGAUUGACCUGCGUUGUAUUAGCUAGUUGGUUAGGUAACGGCUCACCAAGGCAACGAUACAUAGCCGACCUGAGAGGGGGAAUGGGCACACUGGGAAUGGAAAAAGGGCCAGAACCCUACGGGGGGCAGGAGGAGGGAAUCUUCGGCAAUGGGGGGAAGUCUGACCGAGCAAAGGCGCGUGAGUGAAGAAGGGUUUCGGAUCGGAAAGAUCUGUUGUAAGAGAAGAAAGAGAGGGAGAGUGGAAAGUGCACACUGUGACGGUAUCUUACCAGAAAGGGACGGCUAACUACGUG